rnacentral:rRNA from 1 species
GAUGAACGCUAGCGACAGGCCUAACACAUGCAAGCUGAACGGUAAGGUCCCGACUUGUCGGGAUACACGAGUAGCGAAUGGGUGAGUAACGCGUAUGUAACCUACUUAUAACAGGAAGAUAGCUCCGAGAAAUCGGAAUUAAUAUUCCAUAAUAUUCCAUAAUGGCAUCAUUGUGGUAUCAAAGUUCCGGCGGUUAUAAAUGGGCAUGCGUAACAUUAGUUUGUUGGUAGAGUAAAAGCCUACCAAGACUAUGAUGUUUAGGGGGUUUGAGAGGAUGGUCCCCCACACUGGUACUGAGACACGGACCAGACUCCUACGGGAGGCAGCAGUGAGGAAUAUUGGGCAAUGGGUGCAAGCCUGACCCAGCCAUGCCGCGUGCAGGAUAUGACAGUCUUACAGGCCGUAAACUGCUUUUAUACGGGAAGAAACCUCUGGACGUGUCCAGAGUUGACGGUACCGUACGAAUAAGGAUCGGCUAACUCCGUGCCAGCAGCCGCGGUAAUACGGAGGAUCCAAGCGUUAUCCGGAUUUACUGGGCUUAAAGCGUGCGUAGGCGGGAUAAUAAGUCAGUGGUGAAAGCCUACAGCUUAACUGUAGAAGUGCCAUUGAAACUGUUAUUCUUGAGUACAAUUGGAGUGGGCGGAAUGUGUCAUGUAGCGGUGAAAUGCAUAGAUAUGACGCAGAACACCAAUCGCGAAGGCAGCUCACUAAGUUGAUACUGACGCUGAGGUACGAAAGCGUGGGGGGCGAACAGGAUUAGAUACCCUGGUAGUCCACGCUGUAAACGUUGAUUACUAGAUGUAUGCAUUUUUUGUAUGUGUCAAAGCGAAAGCAUUAAGUAAUCCGCCUGGGGAGUACGAUCGCAAGGUUUAAACUCAAAGGAAUUGACGG